GCCUCACUCACCCAAAGGGAAGAAACAAAUCAAAACACACUCACUCAGUUUCAAACUCAGGUGUCAGAUGCAGGAGCCAUGACAAAGUCAAGUGAAGGUCACUGAGGGAUGAAUUUCACUCUGGGCAGUGGUGAUGAAUUCUGAUGAAUGCUGGAGGUAAUGGCAGAUGACAGCCGGAGUGGCCCUUGCGCGAGAUGAGUCAGGGAACCCGCCAGUCUUUUCCCCAAUGAUGACAUUUGAUUUUGUCUGGUGCUUUUUCUUUCAGUAUGGCAAGUGCAGAGGCGACAAUCAGUAGCUCUCUCUUGUUCCCACUUUCUCCCCUCUCCAUCCCUUCGCCCCUCCCUUUCCCCUUGUAUGUGUCUGUGCAUUUUUUUUCCAUCUCUCCGGCUCUACUGAGCCCUCCUUUCUCAUUCUUUUGUGUCUUAGCUUAUCUCCUACUUUCUCUCUUUCGCUCUCUCUGUCUCCUUCCUUCUUGUCGUCCCCUUGCUCUACCAUGCUUGACUCUCAGCGGCACAUAUCUGUGGAUAACUAAUGAUAAUGGACUUUGCUCCCUGAUGUGGGAAUUCUGCAAUCAGCCACACUGCAUGACAUAUGCGUUGAUGGCUUUAAUUUUCUCAGACGUGACUGCCCCUCAAGAUCAUCAACAGUGGCUCUUUCUACGAACAUGAGUGUAAGAUGAGUGCUGCUUCUGUGUCCAAGUCCUGGAAGAGCUGCUGUUUCUGCAGCCAGGGAAAAGAAGCUUGAGUACCGGGCAGAACAACAAUCCAGCUCUCCACCCCGCUCCACUCCAAUCACCACGGAGCAGAGCCAGCAUCAAAGCCAGCUGUCCUGCUUUAAUCUUCUGGACUGGUCUUGCAAGGAUCCUGUCUGCCCGACUGGCCUGACGUUGCCAUCCAACCUGCAUUUAUGUCCCAGUGGACAGAGAGGAAGCGUGAGAGCUGUGGAUGGAUACCUCUUAACUUUCUCCUCACACAGACUUCUUUGUUUCUAUAUUUCUUUCUUCCUCUGUCAUGCAUCUUCAAUCUGCUUGUCCCAUUUUGUCUUUAAUCUCCCUGUUUAUCACUCCGCUGCGCACAUCGUCAUGCACAUUAUCAUCACUGGCAGAAGAUAACGUUGGACAUGCGAUCGCCCAGGGGAGGAAGCAGGAAAAUGUUUGUGUGACACCACAUAGGAGUAAUGGCAGCUAAUCAGAGGCAUCUGCUCUAUCAUGAUGCCAGCAUCAUCGCAACACAACACAAGCCAAACUGGUGAAGAAGUGAAAAAAUUACAAAAAUAUCUCUUCACUUUUAUCACCUCCAGAAAAUAGAACCAGCACAUGGUCACCGUUGGCUUUUUGAUUGCUGUAUUUUCAGUGUUCAGCCACCAAGUCUUAAAACAAAUCAAGAAGCCUCAGGCAGCAUGUUAUUUCUCUCCGCGACAGUGAAAACACAUGUCCAGCUACUAAACAACUGUUCUGUGAAUGCUGUAGUUUGUGACUUAGCAAGCUUUUGUGUAAGAUACAAUCCUCCAACUCAGUCCACUCCAGCAGAAAAACAUGUUGUCUGUGAUCAUUGUUGAGAAGCGGGAAUGUGACAUGAAGGAAAAGGGCAUUGGGAAAACAAGAAGUAAUUUGCCUUGCUUCCUGACUCUGAUAAUCUAAAGUGAGAUAAACCGUUCUGACUUUAUAAAUUUAGCUAGUUUAGUCACAUACACUUAAGUCAAGGAAUUCACAUUUACUGCAAAGUUAAUACAGAUAGAUUAAGCAAAAGCUCUGCAGUUAACAAGGACUCUGUUUCGAGAACUAAUCCCCCUAACACAAUACCAGAGCAUGAAUCGCACGAGGAGGAGUGGAGUGCCCACACUUGUAUGAAUGUGACUGGAUCUUACUAGUCAGCUAGUAGAAAAACAGAUGAAACAUUUACUUAUUUAACUGACGCUUUUAUCCAAAACGACAGAAAAUCGCAUGCCUCUGGAGGACUUUGAUACUCCGCUUGAACAAAGGCAAGCUCAGUUUGAAAUUCUCAUUCCUGCCCUGUAUUUCUUGUUGUAACAGGAAUUUUAAUCAAACCCUUUUCUUGAUGCCAAAAAUAAUCCUCAAGCUUGAUCUCAUUUGGCAACAGCAAAGUGCAGAAUUGUUUCUUCAAACUCCCGCCUGAAUUUUUUAACAAAAAAGAACAGUUUUAAAAUGAUCAGUUAAUUUUGAUAACAUUAGUUUUACAGUGCAGCACUAUUCAUUUUCUAUGGCGAGUAGGAGAUCCGCCCACGCUGGUGUGUGGAUUUUGUGUCUGCACCAUAACUCCUUUAUCAAGCAGAAACCCUGAACGUUUUAUGUUUUAAACUGCUCAGAUUUGAGGAUUAGUGGUUUUAUCAGUUUUAAACAAUUGUAAAUUAAAUAUAUUUGGAUUUUGGACUGUUGAUCAAACAAAAACAAGCCAUUUGGAUUUGCCACCUAACAAUGAAAGUAACUGAUAGAUGAAGCUUUACAAAAGAAAUGCUCUGUGUACAUUUCAGCUCAGUUUUCUUUACAAACCUGUUGUAUGAUUUUGUUCAAUUUAGAUUUUCCAAUAAAACAGCAUGAGUGUAACACCGUUUAUGCACUGAUUUGAAAGUCCUGGAUUUCUAGCGCUGUCUCGUGGGCAAAAUGUCAGCAUUCAUAUUUCUUGAAGCUCAUAUUUUUAUACUGUACAUUAAAACAUAUUUUGUGGGUGUCAGGGAUAGAUUUUUAUUUUUUGGCUAAUGAUGUGUGUGUGUUAUAAUGAUCACCUCAAGGCAGAAUUCCCCUACUAACAUCACCCCAUAAUGUCAACUUAUAGUUGGAGCAAAGGAUAUCAGUACACAAUCUGUGUGCAACAUUUAAAAAAACAUGUUGCUGCAAUCAGCCAAAUAUGCCUCAAAACAAUACCUCCCUCCAAUCUCAUUGGCCGAGGUGAAACAUGGCUUCACGCUCGGAUCAUCAGCACACAUGCAGGGUGCAGGGGCGCUAGUCUCUAAAAGCCAACAGAGUGUGAAGUGUGCUUUGGGGCUUCUGCCAGGUUUUAACUGUAACUUGGAAAGAUGGUUGGUAGCUCCUGAAGAAAACGCUUCAGUUACUGUAUGACCGUUCAUUUUUAUAAUCUGUAUGUGCAGGCAACUGGUGUGACAGGUGAAUUAAGGUGUAGAAUAGGAGCCGAAAGAGGGAAGACACCAAGAGUUAAAGGUGGUAGAUGGAGCUACGACUGUAAACACAUUCAGUGUAAUCACCUAAUAAUUCAUUAAGUCUUGCUGCAGUGUCCCAUCGCAGAGCACAGAUGGUGGUGAGCUGGGAACAGUGUCUUCCCUGCAGUUUUAUGUUUUUAUCUGGUAUGAAACCAAUUAUGCCUGACAGAUUUAAUAUUAUGAGAUUUAGUCUGGGUGAGGCACAAGA